rnacentral:rRNA from 1 species
GUUGGUGGAGUGAUUUGUCUGGUUAAUUCCGUUAACGAACGAGACCUUAGCCUACUAAAUAGUCGCUGCAAUCAUGAUUGGCUGCGACUUCUUAGAGGGACUUUGUACGCAAUUACAAGGAAGUUUGAGGCAAUAACAGGU